CCUACGGGAGGCAGCAGUGAGGAAUAUUGGUCAAUGGACGAGAGUCUGAACCAGCAAAGUAGCGUGAGGGAUGACUGCCCUAUGGGUUGUAAACUUCUUUUUUAUGGGACUACAAUGUUACACGUGUGGGAUUUUGUAUGUACCAUAUGAAUAAGGAUCGGCUACCUCCGUGCCCGCAACCGCGGUAAUACGGAGGGUCCGAUCGUUAUCCGGAUUUAUUGGGUGUAAAGGCAGAGUAGGUGGAUUUUUAAGGUAGUUGUGAAAGUUUGCGGCUCAAACGUAAGAUUGCAGUUGAAACUGGUAGUCUUGAGUACAGUAGAGGUGAGCGGAAUUCGGGGUGUAGCGGUGAAAUGCUUAGAUAUCACGAAGAACUCCGAUUGCGAAGGCAGCUCACUGGACUGCAACUGACACUGAGGCUCGAAAGUGUGGGUAGCAAACAGGAUUAGAUACCCCGGUAGUC
rnacentral:rRNA from 1 species